GAACGCGGGCGGCGUGCCUAAUACAUGCAAGUCGAACGGAGAUAUGAGGGCUUGCUCUUAUAUCUUAGUGGCGCACGGGUGAGUAAUGUAUAGCUAAUCUGCCCUACACUAGAGGACAACAGUUGGAAACGACUGCUAAUACUCUAUACUCCUUCUUUACAUAAGUUAAGUCGGGAAAGUUUUUCGGUGUAGGAUGAGGCUAUAUCGUAUCAGCUAGUUGGUGAGGUAAUGGCUCACCAAGGCUAUGACGCGUAACUGGUCUGAGAGGAUGAUCAGUCACACUGGAACUGAGACACGGUCCAGACUCCUACGGGAGGCAGCAGUAGGGAAUAUUGCUCAAUGGGGGAAACCCUGAAGCAGCAACGCCGCGUGGAGGAUGACACUUUUCGGAGCGUAAACUCCUUUUCUUGGGAAAGAAUU
rnacentral:rRNA from 1 species